rnacentral:lncRNA from 1 species
CUUUGCUUAAUAAAUCUUGUGGGGUGGUUAUUUGUGUGUCUCAUCCAAUUCUUUGUUCAUAACACCAAGAACCUGGAACUCCCAACUUCCAAUCUGGUAACAUAUUUUGGUGAGCCAGCCAGGAGGGUCAAGCCUGCAAUACCUAAAGCUCCAGACCUGGAACCCAAAGCUCCCAUCAGUCGCUACCCUGUGAACCUGUGGAGGAUCUGAAGUACCUGUUUAAAAGGCAUCCAAAAGAUAGAAUCUAUCAAGCUACAAAUGGCUAUGUUGCCUGAAGCCCCAGACAUCAUCCUACAAGAAAUAAGUCCAGACUUCUUAAUUUCCCCCUGGAUAGAGCAGGGUCUUGUUGAACUGGCUAGUGCUUCAACAACAAUGCUAAAUAAUAAAGGAUCUAACAAUAUUUCUGCUUUAAAUUGAUUUCAGAGGGAAUGUCUCUAACGUUGCAAUUCGAUUCAGUUGGAAAGACAUGGUUAAUGCUUAAGAGAGCCAGAAGAACCCAAAUCUUUGAACACACUUAGAGCAACCACAAACUGCUGUUAGAAAACUAAUGUUAAUGUUUAAGAAGUACUUGUUAUUUUAGUUUACCUU